UACGUAGGAUGCAAGCGUUGUCCGGAUUUACUGGGCGUAAAGGGCGCGUAGGCGGCUUAACAAAGUCACUUGUGAAAUCUCCGGGCUUAACUCGGAACGGCCAAGUGAAACUGUCAAGCUAGAGUGCAGAAGGGGCAAUCGGAAUUCUUGGUGUAGCGGUGAAAUGCGUAGAUAAUCAAGAGGAACACCUGAGGUGAAGACGGGUUGCUGGGCUGACACUGACGCUGAGGCGCGAAAGCGUGGGGAGCAAACAGG
rnacentral:rRNA from 1 species